CAUUUCUUCAAGUCUCACACAGUUUCUCUUCAGAUUUCUUCAACUUAAAGCGCUUUAAGUUGUGGUUGGAUAAACAGUCCAUGAAAAAAGGGAUUAAAAGAAGGAAACAAUCAGCUUAAAAAGUGUAGUGUGGAGAAACAUUGUCUAUAUGGAAAAAUCAAAUGAUGUGGUUGAUGAAGUAGGAAUAAUGCUUUUAUAUGAAGGAGAAUGGGUACGAGAUGG